UACGUAGGAGGCAAGCGUUGUCCGGAAUUACUGGGUGUAAAGCGCGUGUAGGCGGCAGGCCAAGUCUGUGGUGAAAUCGCUCGGCUCAACUGGGCGGGGUCCAUGGAAACUGGUCAGCUGGAGGACGGUAGAGGUGAGUGGAAUUCCCGGUGUAGUGGUGAAAUGCGUAGAUAUUGGGAAGAACACCAGUGGCGAAGGCGGCUCACUGGCCCGUAACUGACGCUGAGGUGCGAAAGCCAGGGGAGCAAACGGG
rnacentral:rRNA from 1 species